rnacentral:rRNA from 1 species
GGAGUGCUCGCAAGAGAACCGGAACACAGGUGCUGCAUGGCUGUCGUCAGCUCGUGUCGUGAGAUGUUGGGUUAAGUCCCGCAACGAGCGCAACCCUUGUCAUUAGUUGCUACGAAAGGGCACUCUAAUGAGACUGCCGGUGACAAACCGGAGGAAGGUGGGGAUGACGUCAAGUCCUCAUGGCCCUUAUGGGUAGGGCUUCACACGUCAUACAAUGGUCGGGACAGAGGGUCGCCAACCCGCGAGGGGGAGCCAAUCCCAGAAACCCGAUCGUAGUCCGGAUUGUAGUCUGCAACUCGACUACAUGAAGUCGGAAUCGCUAGUAAUCGCGGAUCAGCAUGUCGCGGUGAAUACGUUCCCGGGUCUU